CCCUUAGACGUUCUGGGCCGCACGCGCGCUACACUGACCAGUGCAACAAGCAUCCGUCCUUGGCCGACAGGCCCGGGCAAUCUUUGAACGCUGGUCGUGAUGGGGAUAGACUUUUGCAAUUUUUGGUCUUCAACGAGGAAUUCCUAGUAAACGCAAGUCAUCAACUUGCAUUGAUUACGUCCCUGCCCUUUGUACACACCGCCCGUCGCUUGUACCGAUUGGAUGGUCCGGUGAAAUCUUCGGAUAGCUGGUAGUUGGCUUGCCAUCUACUGCUAAAAGUUGCUUAAACCUUAUCAUCUAGAGGAACAAGAAGUCGUAACA
rnacentral:rRNA from 1 species